ACGGCUCAGUAACACGUGGACAAUCUAACCUACGGAAGGGGAUAACCCCGGGAAACUGGGGAUAAUACCCUAUAGACUAUGGAUGCUGGAAUGCUCUGUAGCCGAAAGGUCCGCCGCCGUAGGAUGGGUCUGCGGCCGAUUAGGUUGUUGUUGGGGUAACGGCCCAACAAGCCUGUAAUCGGUACGGGUUGUGGGAGCAAGAGCCCGGAGAUGGAUUCUGAGACACGAAUCCAGGCCCUACGGGGCGCAGCAGGCGCGAAAACUUUACAAUGCGGGAAACCGUGAUAAGGGAACUCUGAGUGCCCGUUAAAUCGGGCUGUCCAUCAGUUUAAAAAACUGGUGAAGAAAGGGCCGGGCAAGACCGGUGCCAGCCGCCGCGGUAAUACCGGCGGCUCGAGUGGUGGCCACUAUUACUGGGCUUAAAGCGUUCGUAGCUGGUUUGUUAAGUCUCUGGGGAAAUCUUCCGGCUUAACCGGAAGGCGUCUCAGGGAUACUGGCAGACUAGGGACCGGAAGAGGUGAGAGGUACUCCAGGGGUAGGAGUGAAAUCCUGUAAUCCUUGGGGGACCACCUGUGGCGAAGGCGUCUCACCAGGACGGCUCCGACAGUGAGGGACGAAAGCUGGGGGAGCAAACCGGAUUAGAUACCCGGGUAGUCCCAGCCGUAAACGAUGUGCGUUAGGUGUAUCGGUGACCACGAGUCACCGAGGUGCCGAAGAGAAAUCGUGAAACGUACCGCCUGGGAAGUACGGUCGCAAGGCUGAAACUUAAAGGAAUUGGCGGGGGAGCAC
rnacentral:rRNA from 1 species